rnacentral:rRNA from 1 species
AUUGAACGCUGGCGGCAUGCCUUACACAUGCAAGUCGAACGGUAACAGGUUAAGCUGACGAGUGGCGAACGGGUGAGUAAUACAUCGGAACGUGCCCAGUAGUGGGGGAUAGCCCGGCGAAAGCCGGAUUAAUACCGCAUACGACCUACGGGUGAAAGGGGGGGAUCGCAAGACCUCUCGCUAUUGGAGCGGCCGAUGUCAGAUUAGGUAGUUGGUGGGGUAAAAGCCUACCAAGCCGACGAUCUGUAGCUGGUCUGAGAGGACGACCAGCCACACUGGGACUGAGACACGGCCCAGACUCCUACGGGAGGCAGCAGUGGGGAAUUUUGGACAAUGGGCGCAAGCCUGAUCCAGCCAUGCCGCGUGCGGGAAGAAGGCCUUCGGGUUGUAAACCGCUUUUGUCAGGGAAGAAACGCUCUGGGUUAAUACCCUGGGGUAAUGACGGUACCUGAAGAAUAAGCACCGGCUAACUACGUGCCAGCAGCCGCGGUAA